AGUGCCUGAGCUAGAAGCUACUGUAAAAUUGAGUGCAGGGUGGAGAAAAUGCAUAGAGUAUGCCAGAGGCAGAACAAAGCUACAAUAUGGGUCUGUGGCGCUCCAGUCCAUGACAGCAUCCUCUAGGCUAUGUUGCCUUAUAUUUGCUUUGUUAUGCUUACGUGUAUUUGUCCUUCCAGGAUGGUCAAAAUUUGCUGGCUGGGAAGGUGGAUCUGGGUCAUCAUUUUCUACGCCUCCUCCUCCAGUGGAGGAGGCUUACUGAGGGCUGGCUGUAGACUUUAUGUACAUCCGUACUCAGCACCAGGAUUUUCAAGCCGCACUAGCAUUUUAUUCCUGUGAGUACAGGAUUUCUUGAUCAUGAAGACAAACUGUCCUGGGCCUUGCAAAGGAGUUAGACAUAGAUCAGUCAGGAAUUAACAGGUUAGUUAAUUUCAAGUGAUUGAGCUUUAAACAGCAUUUGGAUUAUCCCAUGCAAAUGCACCUCAUGCUGUAAAUCACAGUGGUAAAACACAGUGAUUCCUGAGGGUAUAUCAAUUGCAAACCUUCCCUAAUGAUUUUAAAAUCUCCCAAAUGAAUUGGUAUAUUGACACAACUCUGUCCACAGUGGGGAAUAUUUGUAGUUCAACAGCUAUAAAUCCUAGAACAGUUGAAUAAUCUUACACUAAAACCAACUCUGUAAAUGUUAUACACAUUCACUCUGCCUUCUUCAACCAUAUUAGCUUAUUUAAUAGCUCUAACAGAGAAAUACUAUCUAUUACUGCUCUCUCCACCGGCAGGCUCACAACAAGGAUGUGCAUCUUGAGAGGCACUGAGGAUGUGCAUCCCACCCCAUUCACAGACAACCUAUCAAUCAAUUGUGUAAGUACCUGACUACACACUCAGGGUGAAGGUGCUGAAGAUUCCACCUCUGAUGGGGACAGCAGCCAUCAGUUUUUUAUAAACAUAUGGUUGAUCCCUUGCUUCUUGAUGUUUCACCUUUUCUGACUGAGCUGUUUCCCUUUUAACCUAGAGUCCUUGCUCUAAACAUAAUUUUGGAGAAGAAUGAUAGAAAAUCACCAUAUAUUGACAGCUCUUAGUUUAUCCCAUCUACAAAAGCUUGAGUGCAAACAAGUGCAUCAGAAGUACUGCUGGAAUGAAAGAGUCCUGGCUUUGAUGGGAAGACAGCAGAUUUGUGCUGGAGGUUGAUGUUCUCAAGGUACAGUGUUCAGCUAUAGUGACAAGUGUUGAUAGAUUUAAAAGUGGCGUCUUUCAUAGUGCGAGUAAAUGCAACAUGCUGCAUAUGGCUGUAAGAGAACAUUUCUUCUAAUGAAAUUACAUACAUAAUUAAUGCUAUGGACCU
rnacentral:lncRNA from 1 species